AACAAAACAAAAAAAAAAAAAAAAAAAAACACCAGUUUAUUGCUGUAACGCAUGAGAAGGAUUCACAGUAUCCUCAGAUCUGUCAUGGUGUGUAGUGCAUGCCAGCAACACCAGUGUUCACAUGGCUGCAUUUCCUGCCGCAAGACAACACACUGGGUUGAGAGCUUCUGUUUUUGGAGGAAGUGGCCCCAGUCGAGAUUAAAGUCACAGUUUGGUCCACACCUACGGUGUUUGUGUACAGUAUGUGACCCUCCCCUGGGGCCAGGUCUGGUCAGGGGCUGCAGGUUUUCUUGGAGAGGGAAGUUAUUUCUGGCUUACACGAACUGGCAGUGAUGUCACAAGUGCUUCCUCAUCCUGCAGGCACGGAUCAAGUUUAGCCCCAGAGAUUCUCCCGAGUCUUUCCUGUUGUUCUAAGAGAGAUGCUGCUUAACCUGCCCUGACCCAGGGAGCUGUGAAUGCUCGGCUGAGUGACAGGCCCAUAGAGGACGGGCCGAGGCUCUGCUCCUCACCGCCCCAACUGCACAGGACGCUGUGCCACCCCCCUUCCCACACAACGAGGGAAGGAGCUGUCUCUUGGAGCUGCCCCCACGCAGUGCACGUGCACAUCUCAGCAACUCUAUGUCCUUUCCCUCCCGUCUCUGGCUUCAGCUUCUCCACGUCUGCUUCAAAACACAGCCACCGUCUAUGCCUGCCUCCUCGCCCCGAGCUG